rnacentral:misc_RNA from 1 species
UCUCCGUUGGUGAACCAGCGGAGGGAUCAUUACCGAGUUUACGACUCCCAAACCCCUGCGAACAUACCAUUUGUUGCCUCGGCGGUGCCUGCUUCGGCAGCCCGCCAGAGGACCCAAACCCUUGAUUUUAUACAGUAUCUUCUGAGUAAAUGAUUAAAUAAAUCAAAACUUUCAACAACGGAUCUCUUGGUUCUG